UCUCACCCUUUAUAUGCCCAAUUGAUCACUGUGCUCUGCAGGUAAGGGCCUUCUGCAGGUAUCCUGUUAUCAAGAGGCCGUUCUGCACAACGGGCCUUUAGUGUUGUGGCACCUACCCUCUGGAAUGCCCUCCCCUUGAAUAUUACACAGGCACUGUCUUCUCUUGUCUUUUUUUGGAAAUUACUGAAGACCUUCAUCUUUCAAGAAGUCUUUCAAGGUGAACUGUUUCCCAGCCUGCAUCUUUAUUGGAUAUGUUUUUAAUUGCUUUAUCACUUGUUGCUCACCACCCUGGGCUCCUCUGGAAAGGUGUAGUCCAGAGCAGAGUGUCAGGUGGGCAGCCGGAGACAGCAGCAAGUGUUUUGCUGAUUUCCCAGUCCGCUGCCUGAGCUUGUUGUGCCCUCCAGAUGUUUUGGACUACAUCUGCCUACCAGCAUUCACAGUCUCCGGCCAUGCUGCCUGGGGCUGUAGUUCAAAACAUUUGGUGGGCCCAAGGUUGGGCAAAGCUAUCCUGGCUUCUGGUUUUAACCUUCUUCGGUCUCAAGAAGGGGCAUGAUGUAUCAGACAGAGCAGAGGCAGAGAGACUUCAAGUUUCCAGGAUCUACUGUGGUUGUUUUUAACUAGAAACACAGUCUCCCAACUAGAGUCAGUUACACAACUGCAGCUAAGGAAAUAACCUUAGAAUUAGUGAAGAAAUAGGACGCGUAUGACCACAUGCACAGCCUUAGGAGUUUGUUUUCAGUGCCAGAGUAGAACUGUCAAUCAUUCCACACAUAUGUCCGCUCCUGGUGCCCCCUCAAGCUUUUUCCAUGAGAGUAACUUAAUUCAAGGGACACGGGUGGUGCUGUGGGUUAAACCACAGAGCCUAGGACUUGCUGAUCAGAAGGUCAGCGGUUCGAAUCCCCACGAUGGGAUGAGCUCCUGUUGCUUGGUCCCUGCUCCUGCCCACCUAGCACUUCGAAAGCACAUCAAAAGUGCAAGUAGAUAAAUAGGUACCGCUCCGGCGGGAAUGUAAACGGCGUUUCUGUGCGCUGCUCUGGUUCGCCAGAAGCAGCUUAGUCAUGCUGGCCACAUGACCCGGAAGCUGUACGCUGGCUCCCUCGGCCAAUAAAGCGAGAUGAGCGCCGCAACCCCAGAGUUGGUCACGACUGGACCUAAUGGUCAGGGGUCCCUUUACCUUUACCUAACUUAAUUCAAGGGGAGUGGAAGAGGAUAACUUGUUUGUUCUUUUUAUUUUUUAUUUUUACAAUAUCAGGGUUGUGUGCAACAAUAAAGAAAACCCCCACACAAUUGAAGGCAACAAGGUGUUUCAGCAAUUGGAAGCAAGAAAUACUUGCUGAUCUACUGCAAAUGAUCUAGAGAUCUACCAGAAAGGAGCCCCCUGUCUACUGCUGACCCCUCAUGAGAUAGAUGCUGCAUCAUGGCCAGUCCAAUUCCAGCUAUGGCUACUCAGAUGAUUAAGAAGCAUGCAACAAACAGGGCAUUGUGGCAACAAACUGGUUGCUUGUUCAUCUGGUAUUCAGAUGCAUGCUGCCUCUCAACGUGGAUGGUUCAUUUAGCUAUCACAGCUAAUAGACAUCAAUAGACCUCUCUUCCAUGAAUUUGUCUACCUGUCUUCCAUGGACAAUAGAUCUAUCAAUGGCUGCUAGCUCAGCUAGAAGGAGAUGCUACUGAGGUAACUGGAUUUCCAUUCUGAGGCUUUUUGUGACAUUGCUAUGGGUAAAAGGACUUUGGGUCUAGUUAUAUUUUGAGCAAGCAACACAAAUGGCUUCAAAGACUGAAGGGUGACUGUGGACCAGAUCUGUAUGUGUUUGACCCCUCCAGGCAGAAGUGCUGAGACCUGGGCUUUGAAUCUGUGCUGUAUAUCCAGCCUGCAGUGCUGAACUCAAGAUGGGAGUGUGGGCAAAACACUGGGACUUGCUGGUAUGUGCUUGAAUCCCAUUCACAAAGUGGCUGCAUACUGGAAGUGGUCAGAGAAAGCUCAGAAGAGCAAAGAGUGAGGCUGGCAGGUUAUAUCCAACGGGCCCAGAUAACACUGAGAACCUACCGAGGCAAGCAAUUAUUAUUCCAUUGUACAGAUGUGGAAACUGAAGCUGUGAGGGAUGUGACGCACUUCAAGCUCAUGUUUCAGUGAAUUGGGGAGGCUUUGAACCAGUGUGUCCUGGAGCCGAUGCUAAUGCGUUAUCCACUAACAGUCAAACAUAUAUGUCGGUUUUGAAGCCUAAGCAAAAGGUGAAAUUCCAGGCAUUCUGCCCAGUUUAUCUUCCAUCCAGCAUUUGUUGAUGUUUGAUGAAGACUCUUGGGAUGCAGCUUGAUGAAAAUACAUCUAAAUAGAUUUCAUCUCGCCUCUGAUGCUAGCUAGCGGUGUUAAUCCCAGAAGAGACCAAACUAUCUUCUUUUUCUUUUCUUUUUCUUUAAACUUUUCCUUUUGUUUUCUUUCCCGGCCUCUUUAUCAGGAAGGGCAAAAUCAUUAUAUGCCUGCAAAUGAUGGAAGCCUUCGAGUGGGGAAGAUUUACCUUAGGCUGACAAACUGCUUGCCUUUGGAUCAUUGUCUGCUCUCUUACUCUGCGGGAGAUGAGCAGUCGAGUAGCGAAGAAAAUAUUUAAGUGAAGUUUUAUGAGGGAUUCCCUCCUGCGCAUUCACUUAAUUUGAUAUGAAAUGGCAG